AUGGAGGUCAAACUAGCAUUCCCCCAGGACAGACCGCCACUUUCCAUCAUUUCGGCUGCUAAGAUUGCAGGUGUUUCCGUAAUCAUUGAUCCGACCCUUGCCUCAGGUUCAGUGCCCACACUACACUUCAGUUCUGGGGAUUUUAUACAUGGUGUCAACACAAUUCUCCGGUACAUUGCAUGUGCUGCAUCUGUUUCCAGCUUCUAUGGCCAGGACGAUAUUCAGGCAGCACAAGUUGACCAAUGGCUCGAGUACGCACCACUCAUUCUCUCAGGCUCUGAAUUUGAAGCUGCUUGCUUAUUUCUUGAUGGAUACUUGGCAACUCGAACCUUUCUGGUUGGUUAUGGCCUAUCAAUUGCUGACAUUGUCGUGUGGUCAAAUCUCACAGGAACUGGUCAACGAUGGGAAAGUCUAAGGAGGUCAAAGAAAUAUCAAAGCCUUGUACGCUGGUUUAACAGUGUAGUUGCAGACUAUGGAGAUGCACUGGAUGAAGUUACAUCUGCUUAUGUUGGCAAGCGAGGAAUUGGCAAAUCUCCUGCGCCAAGUUUGAAAGAAAAGAUGCCUGGUUUGAAGGAGAACACGUCAGGUCAUGAAAUAGAUCUCCCAGGUGCAAAAGUUGGGGAGGUUUGUGUUCGUUUUGCCCCAGAGCCUAGCGGGUAUCUCCACAUUGGUCAUGCAAAGGCUGCACUGUUGAACAAGUAUUUUGCAGAGAGAUAUAAAGGGCAUAUUGAGACGCUUGGGGUUAAAUACGAUGUAGUUACAUACACAUCGGAUUAUUUCCCAAAGCUAAUGGAAAUGGCUGAAAGUUUGAUUAAGCAGGGAAAGGCAUAUAUUGAUGAUACACCCAAGGAGCAAAUGAGGACUGAAAGGAUGGACGGCGUGGAAUCUAAACGUAGGAACAGUACUGUUGAGGAGAACUUGUCGUUGUGGAAAGAGAUGGUUAAUGGCACCAUAAGGGGUACUCAGUGCUGUGUACGUGGUAAACUUGACAUGCAGGACCCAAACAAAUCACUUCGAGAUCCUGUGUACUACCGUUGCAACCCUGAUCCCCAUCAUCGUGUGGGCUCAAAAUACAAGGUCUAUCCAACAUAUGACUUUGCUUGUCCAUUUGUUGAUGCACUGGAAGGAGUCACUCAUGCUCUUCGUUCAAGUGAAUACCAUGAUCGGAAUGCACAGUACUAUCGUAUCCUUCAAGACAUGGGCCUGCGGAGGGUAGAAAUCUAUGAGUUCAGCAGGCUGAAUAUGGUUUAUACCGUUCUUAGUAAGCGCAAGCUUCUGUGGUUCGUCCAAAACAAGAUGGUGGAGGACUGGACUGACGCACGCUUUCCCACUGUACAAGGCAUAGUACGUCGUGGCUUGAAGAUUGAAGCAUUGAUCCAAUUUAUACUGGAACAGGGUGCGUCAAAAAAUCUGAAUCUUAUGGAGUGGGAUAAACUCUGGACAAUCAACAAGAAGAUAGUCGAUCCAAUUUGUGGAAGGCAUACUGCUGUGCUGAAAGAAAAAUGUGUGCUUCUCACACUUGCUAAUGGUCCAGAGGAACCAUUUGUUCGAAUCUUACCACGGCAUAAGAAAUACGAGGGUGCUGGGAAGAAGGCUACAACGUUCGCCAACAGAAUUUGGCUAGAGUAUGCUGAUGCAUCAGUCAUUAGCGUGGGUGAGGAAGUCACUUUGAUGGACUGGGGAAAUGCUAUCAUUAGAGAAAUCAAGACAGAUAAUGGAACAAUCACUCAACUAGUUGGUGAACUCCAUCUUGAAGGGUCAGUGAAGAUGACAAAGCUGAAACUAACAUGGCUAUCAGACAUUGAAGACCUUGUGUCUCUCUCUUUGGUAGAUUUUGACUACCUAAUUAAUAAGAAGAAGCUGGAAGAAGAUGAGGACUUCCUUGACAAUCUCAACCCUUGCACUCGACGAGAAGCUUUAGCUCUUGGUGACCCAAACAUGCGGAACGUCAAGAAAGGAGAAGUUAUACAGCUCGAAAGGAAAGGAUACUACAGGUGUGAUGUUCCAUUUGUCCGGUCGUCCAAACCAAUUGUGCUUUUUGCCAUCCCAGAUGGCCGUCAGAAGUCUACGUCGAUUGCUACUGGAGCCUAG
rnacentral:rRNA from 1 species